rnacentral:rRNA from 1 species
CAACGACCACCCAGGGCCGGAAAGUUGGUCAAACUCGGUCAUUUAGAGGAAGUAAAAGUCGUAACAAGGUCUCCGUAGGUGAACCUGCGGAGGGAUCAUUA